rnacentral:rRNA from 1 species
CCUACGGGUGGCAGCAGUGGGGAAUAUUGGACAAUGGGGGAAACCCUGAUCCAGCCAUGCCGCGUGUGUGAAGAAGGCCUUCGGGUUGUAAAGCACUUUCAGUGGGGAGGAGGAGUGAUUGGUUAAGAGCUGAUUACGAAGACGUUACCCACAGAAGAAGCACCGGCUAACUCCGUGCCAGCAGCCGCGGUAAUACGGAGGGUGCAAGCGUUAAUCGGAAUUACUGGGCGUAAAGGGUGCGUAGGUGGUUGAUUAAGUUAUCUGUAAAAAUCCUGGGCUUAACCUGGGGCUGUCAGAUGAUACUGAUUGACUCGAGUACGGGAGAGGGUAGUGGAAUUUCCGGUGUAGCGGUGAAAUGCGUAGAUAUAGGAAGGAACACCAGUGGCGAAGGCGGCUACCUGGCCUAGUACUGACACUGAGGCACGAAAGCGUGGGGAGCAAACAGGAUUAGAUACCCCGGUAGUC